GAUACCGCCCGGCGGCAGCGCCGGGACCGAGGGGCGCGGGGACGUGUGUUCCCGGGAGUGCCAGAGCUCCUCCCCCGGCCCCCGAGGGCGGCCCCAGGCAGUGCCGUGCCCCUGGCUCCUGGGUCCGACCGCCGAGAAGCUCAAAUGCUUUGCAAAGAAUUGGCGAUAGCGUGAGGGCUCAGCGCUGCCGCGCGGCUGCGUACCAGGGCACUGCCAUCCUCUAGUGAUCCCCCGUGAGGGAAACUGUUCCACAGAAUCACCGAAUGCGGCGGGUUGGAAGGGACCACAGGGGGUCAUCUGGCCCAACCUCCCUACUCGAGCAGGGUGAUCCCAGAGCACAUGGCACCCAGGAUUGCAUCCAGACGGCUCUGGAAUGUCUCCAGUAAGAGAGACUCCACAGCCUCUCUGGGCAAUCUGUACCAGUGCACAGUCACUCACACGAUAGAGAAGUUCCUCCUCAUAUUUAGGUGGAAUUCGCUGUGCAUCAGUUUCUCCCUGUUGCCGCUUGUCCUAUUCCUCGGCACCCCGAGUAGAACCCGAUCCAUCCUCUUGAAACUGCCUCCCACUUUAGAUACACAUUGACGAGGUCCCCUCUCAGACUUCUCAAGGCUGAAGAGGCCCAACUCUCAGCCUUUCCUCAUAAGAGAGAUGCUCUAGUCCCUUAAUCACAUUUGUUGCUCUCCACUGGACCCUCUGGAUGCUCCAGGAGCUCCACAGGUCUCUGCUUUGCACAGCCUUAGUUAAAAAGCUGUAUUUAAAAGCAACUAAAUCUUUCUCCUACAUGGAAUGAGUUGCAGUGCGACCACUAUGUAACUGAGGUGAGAAUGGGAAACAAAUGCCCUGUGCAGAGGUCCUUUGCCAAGACACGUUUGACGAUCUUCCUUCCUGGGCUCAUGACUGCUGCUUUCGUGGUGUUGUAGGGAAUGAACCUCCAUCUCCCCUUGAACCACCACUGUGCUCGUCCUCUGCAGCUGACCUCCCCAGGUUCGAGAGCAACACAUAAACUGCUGCUUUGAGCGAAGCCAUCGGCACAGGCUGCAUAUUCUUACUUUUGGUGAUUUUACAGUCACUGUUUGGCAGUGACCAACAGCCUAAACCUUCAUAAAGAAAUGCUGAGAAAUACAUCUGGUGUAGUUUUUAAGUAUUUUUUCCUCCCCUCCUAGAUAACACUUCCAUAGAAAAUAUGUUUUUUAUUUUCUUUUUUGUUGCAAGACUUAGGGGACAACUGCACAAAACUUAAAAGCUUCCUCACUGUGCAAUUAACAAAAAGAUUGUGGACACGGUCUUUUUCUAUGUGUUUUUUUCACAUUUUUAUUAUAAAACAGGUAAAGUCU